GAUGAACGCUGGCGGCGUGCCUAAUACAUGCAAGUCGAGCGAACGGACGAGAAGCUUGCUUCUCUGAUGUUAGCGGCGGACGGGUGAGUAACACGUGUAUAACCUACCUAUAAUACUGGUAUAACUUCGGGAAACCGUAUCUAAUACCGGAUGAUAUUUUGAACCGCAUGGUUCAAAAGUGAAAGACGGUCUUGCUGUCACUUAUAGAUGGAUCCGCGCUGCAUUAGCUAUUUGGUAAGGUAACGGCUUACCAAGGCAACGAUGCAUAGCCGACCUGAGAGGGGGAUCGGAAACACUGGAACUGAGACACGGACCAGACUACUACGGGAGGCAGCAGUAGGGAAUAUUCCGCAAUGGGCGAAAGCAUGACGGAGCAACGCCGCGUGAGUGAUGAAGGUCUUCGGAUCGUAAAACUCUGUUAUUAGGGAAGAACAUAUGUGUAAGUAAAUGUGCACAUCUUGACGGUAACUAAUCAGAAAGCAACGGCUAACUACGUG
rnacentral:rRNA from 1 species